CUUAUCAUCAAAGUAUUGAUUGUAACGGAUCCUUCAAGAAUGAUUAUCAGAUUGAAACCAUUGAUGACCCAUAAAGCAUAUUUUUCGUUCAUGCUUUAAAUAUAAGGAGGAUGCAUUCUUGUUGCAUAUUGGACAUGUCAGAUGUCCUUUGGUGCUCCAUCCAGAUAAGUUUUCAUAUGCAGAAAAAUUAUUUAUAAUCCAUAGAAUCAAAGCAUGCAAUUUAAAUUUUUUUCGACUCACAAAAUCAUAUGUCUGUACUCCAUUUUCUCAUAGCUCCUUU
rnacentral:lncRNA from 1 species